UACGUAGGUCCCGAGCGUUGUCCGGAUUUAUUGGGCGUAAAGCGAGCGCAGGUGGUUUAUUAAGUCUGGUGUAAAAGGCAGUGGCUCAACCAUUGUAUGCAUUGGAAACUGGUAGACUUGAGUGUAGGAGAGGAGAGUGGAAUUCCAUGUGUAGCGGUGAAAUGCGUAGAUAUAUGGAAGAACACCAGUGGCGAAAGCGGCUCUCCGGCCUGUAACUGACACUGAGGCUCGAAAGCGUGGGGAGCAAACAGG
rnacentral:rRNA from 1 species